GGGCACUUUCUUCCUGCGGCCGUGGAGAGAAGCCAGGCUGCCGUCCUGGCCAGUGCGGCUUCCUCUACUUUUUUUUUUUCCCCCUUCUUUUCAUCCCACGCAUCACAUGGGUUGGGCUCCCUACGUUGGGGACCUGGCUUACUCGACGCUCAUCAUCAUAGGUCUGACACUUAGUCGAUGUAGCUAUCCCCACCUCAGGGCAACAAGACUCGGGCUGGCAGACAGACUGGGGAAGCCAACCUGCUUCCUGCUGGUGGGUUUCCAGACUCCACCCGCAGGAUUGUGCUUAGCUGGCCCACGCCUGGUGGUAGAUGACGGGGACUUAGAUACCUAAGCAUCUGGGAAUCGCUAACCUCCAGACAGAUAAAGACACCAAGUGCAUGGCAGGAUCCUGGCAAACGGCAUAUGGCAAAUGCUCACACAAAAUGUGCUGGCUUGAUCAGACCAAUAUGCUCCUGUCAAGAGCAGCAGAACUCGUAGACUCAGGGUGCAUUCUAUCCAGGUUCCUAAACUGAGCUUGGAAGGAAGAGGAAAGAGCUGCAGAGGCGGAGACUCUGACCCCAAAGCGAUCGAGGGCCCUCCCCUGGCUUCCGUGUCCCUGUGGCAGGCGGUGGUGGUCGAAAUCUCUGCCCCUCAGAGUCCUGGGGAGGAUGGAUGGAACAGGAGGAGCAUCAUGAGAAGGCUUCCUGUAAACUACGGAGGGUGCUCGUGGAAGCCAGCAGAGGGUGUAGGGUCUCCUGGAGCCACAUCUCUGGAGUUACAUGAAGUUGUGGACCUCUCAACAUGGGUUCUGGGAACUGAACCCAGGUCCUCUGGAAGGACAUCGAGUGCUCUUAACCACUGAGCCAUCUCUGCAGCCUAACCCCAUCCCUUGGAGGCUGAAGCAAAGCAAGUUCAAUGACCGUGCGACCUGGCUCUUGUUUGGGCCUAAGGAAAAGCCGACUGUAAGCCGGGAAGCAUCUCUGGCAAGAACAAGGAAGGAUUAAGCACGUCUGUGGUUGUGCGCAGGGAUCACAAGGUGCUCCUGCAGUGGGAAGAGCCACCACUAGGGGCGCUCCAAGUCUUGUAUUUUCUACCUUGAAAACUCGUUUCCCUGUGGCUGCCCUCCAAAUCCAACGGAGAUGAAUGGCUUUUAGUUUACCUAGCUGAUUUAAUAAACUUUAAAAAUAAA
rnacentral:lncRNA from 1 species